AAAAAUACAUUUUGUUAUUGUCUGAACUCACAAUCACCACCCAGCAGUUCAAGCCUGCCCUAGGUAGCACCCAUAUGAAGGCUAUAGCAUGAGCAAAGGCCUAAUCUGCAGGGAAGCAAGCUGCAGGGCCAGCAGAAACCCUCCUAACCACACAGAGGACAGCGGGCCACGUAAGCAGGUACACAGCACACAGCUAAAGCCACCUUUCAACAAGCCAGGGUGCCAGAGGACAGUACAGUGAACCAACCCCAGCACUACAAAACUGCAUUUUCCCCAAAGAAACCUUUUGCUUUGUGCCUGUAAUUAACAUAAAAUAAGUAAAUUAUUUGUCUUUGUAUUUAGGAAAAUAAUCACGCUAAAAGUUGUACUUUAUAUGGAUUUUCAAAGGAAAGACUGAUUGUGCUUUUUGAAUUAAAAAAAAAAGAUAGGUGUCUUCCAACCUCAUUGACUUAACCCUUGUGGAAUAUAGCACUUCUAAACUAAAAACACACAUCAAAAGAAAGGUUAGUCCAGUGGGACAUUCAAAAUGUCUUCAGAAGGUCUUACAAUUGGCUACUUCUACUGUUCUGGUUCCGUCAAAAAGAAUACAGAGCAGAGCUGCUGUCUUCACUGUCUCCAAAUUCCCUCCAGAGUCAGGUCUGAAAAUGCUUAGCACACUGGAUGGCAGUUAGCCAGCAGCAUGGGCCAGGCACCUCAAGCCAUCUGACUGGCUGUUACCUUGGAGGGUCAAAGUGUUGUCCCCUCCACCUGCCUCCAUAACAAUUCUCAAAAGUAGUUCUUCUCCACCUAGGGCCACUUUGGUACAAAAACUUCCAUUUGUUUCAGCUGUUACCCAUUGCAAAUUUAGGAUGUGCUUGGUCUCAGAUGCCCAAAAUACCCACUCCCUUAAGCAGUUGGCAGCUUCCAGGAGAACUAAGGUCAAGGGUCACACAGGGGCUCAAGCAAUGGGGCCAGUCUUCCUCCAUCUGAUGGUCCACUAGCCUUGUCCAGGAAGGAGACUGUCCCUUGGUAGGUGAAAAUUAAAUCUGUAACCUGUCUAGGUACAAUUCACACAAAUUAAGAAGAAAACAAAACAAAACAAAAUAAAAGCACCAAACUGUGUCCAGUUUCACAGGUCAGUCCAGGCAAUGGAUCAGCAGGCCCCAUGCUAGGAUCUGAUGUCACUCUGUAUCUUCAGUCCAAUCUCCUCCAGUCCUGUUCUCUCAAUAAUCCCUGCUGGAUGACAAGCUGUACCCCCAAAAGGACAUGGGUUCAGGAAAUGCUUCCCAAAUGUUCUCCAAGGCAAAACCAAGGUGGCUGCUGGUCUGAUAGCAUGGAGGGCAGGAGUAAAAGCCUUAAGUCUCACUUCUCACUCAACUCAAUGCUUCUCACUGCUCCUCACCAAUGACCACUCAGGACUAGGGAGCAGCUGGCAAGGACAGAGCAGCCUCACAGGCUCUCAAAGCACGCAUCUCAACCCCUUUCUUCCCACUCUGGAAAAGCACUGUUCUAUCUUCACCCAAGAGCUGGUAUAUUUGGUUUGUUUCUCUGGAACCAUCAAUAAAAAGAAGCAAACUUUUCCUGUUUUUCUCAUGUUUACCUAUGAGAGUGGCAAUCUCUUGACAGCUCAGUAGCACACAGGCUGACUUGGCCAAAUGGACUUGUGAAUGCAUGCAUUCGGACUGCAUAUUGCUACCAAAAUGGAAUGUGAGAAUAUGCUAUGCACCUCAGGUUGAGAAAUGACCAAGAAGUCAAGAUCUAAAGGGUGAUAUAUAAUAUAUAUAUCAAUUCUAUUAUUCAUAAAAACCUUGUUUAGUAAUAAAAAAUUGCUUUGUUUAAAUAUGAAUAUUAAAGUCUGCUUCUCAUGGUUUCUGCUUGUACUCUUCUGGUCGGUGGAGUUACAUGGCUGCAGAGUCACCAUUGACAGGAUCUAUGGGGUUAGGAUAGGCCAGCAACUGGGGCAGGAAGAACUCAAAUAUAUUUGUAAGAUCAUAGAAAGCUGUCCAUGUUUGAUUAAUUACAUCUAGACAGUUCCUUACGCUUCAUCAAUGUCAGGAUGGAAAUUUUUAUUCAUGAAUCCUAUAGAUGGAGACUUGAAAGGGUAUUUAUCAGGAAGGUCUCCUCUCACUUUCCACACCCCGCCUUCAUAUGAUGUUCCUUGUGGUCCAUAAAACUUGACAAGGAAUUCAUUGAGUCCUCCUAGGAUUGUAACCUCAUGUUUGCUUUCAAUGAGCUUGACCAAGUCCAUGUCCAUCCGUCUCUUGCCUGGACUGGGGGAUGACAUGGUGUCGCCAACGCCACCUCCUCCCACGGCCUCGCAGGCUCUUUGGCCGAGGUGGCAACACCUGCGCGGUCCUGUAGGGUCCGCUCAGCCACUGCCCUCCUGCACUGGGGAACACCGGGCACUGCCCCGCCGAGUGGGACCAGGGAUGGAGGCGCCCUCUCGGGCUGCCCUCCAACUGAGGCUCCUCUGAGGCCCAGGCUGCUGCUGCUCCAAGCCAUGCACUGCUCCCUCCCACCCGCGCUAGCUCCUUUGCCUGCCCACCUGCUUUCUCAUUCUCUUGCCAGCUCCCAGCUGCUUCCUCCACAAGCCCACCGCUG
ensembl:lincRNA Gm26526 predicted gene, 26526